rnacentral:rRNA from 1 species
UGGGGAAUUUUGGACAAUGGGCGAAAGCCUGAUCCAGCCAUGCCGCGUGAGUGAAGAAGGCCUUCGGGUUGUAAAGCUCUUUCAGCCGGAAAGAAAUCGCGCAGGAUAAUACCCUGUGUGGAUGACGGUACCGGAAUAAGAAGCACCGGCUAACUACGUGCCAGCAGCCGCGGUAAUACGUAGGGUGCGAGCGUUAAUCGGAAUUACUGGGCGUAAAGCGUGCGCAGGCGGUUUAGUAAGACAGGCGUGAAAUCCCCGGGCUCAACCUGGGAACUGCGCUUGUGACUGCAUAGCUAGAGUACGGUAGAGGGGGAUGGAAUUCCGCGUGUAGCAGUGAAAUGCGUAGAUAUGCGGAGGAACACCGAUGGCGAAGGCAAUCCCCUGGACCUGUACUGACGCUCAUGCACGAAAGCGUGGGGAGCAAACA